AGUGAACGCUGGCGGCGUGGAUAAGGCAUGCAAGUCGAGCGAUCCUCGCAAGAGGAUAGCGGCAAACGGGUGAGUAACGCGUAGGUAACCUACCCUCAGCUCUGGGAUAAGCCCGGGAAACUGGGUCUAAUACCGGAUAUGACUCCAUGACGCAUGUUGUGGGGUGGAAAGCCUUGUGCGGCUGAGGAUGGGCCCGCGGCCUAUCAGCUUGUUGGUGGGGUGAUGGCCUACCAAGGCGACGACGGGUAGCCGGCCUGAGAGGGCGACCGGCCACACUGGGACUGAGACACGGCCCAGACUCCUACGGGAGGCAGCAGUGGGGAAUCUUGCGCAAUGGGCGAAAGCCUGACGCAGCGACGCCGCGUGAGGGAUGACGGCCUCGG
rnacentral:rRNA from 1 species